CUCAGAUUGAACGCUGGCGGCAGGCCUAACACAUGCAAGUCGAACGGAACCUUCGGGUUUAGUGGCGAACGGGUGAGUAAUGCCUAGGAAUCUGCCUAUUAGUGGGGGAUAACGAAUCGAAAGGUUCGCUAAUACCGCAUACGUCCUACGGGAGAAAGAGGGGGAUCUUCGGACCUCUUGCUAAUAGAUGAGCCUAGGUCGGAUUAGCUAGUUGGUGAGGUAAAGGCUCACCAAGGCGACGAUCUGUAGCUGGUCUGAGAGGAUGGCCAGCCACACUGGAACUGAGACACGGUCCAGACUCCUACGGGAGGCAGCAGUGGGGAAUAUUGGACAAUGGGCGCAAGCCUGAUCCAGCCAUGCCGCGUGUGUGAAGAAGGCCCUCGGGUUGUAAAGCACUAAGCGAGGAGGAAGGUCAUCAUACUAAUAUUAUGAUGAAUUGACGUUACUCGCAGAAUAAGCACCGGCUAACUCU
rnacentral:rRNA from 1 species